UACGAAGGGGGCUAGCGUUGCUCGGAAUCACUGGGCGUAAAGCGCACGUAGGCGGAUUGUUAAGUCAGGGGUGAAAUCCUGGAGCUCAACUCCAGAACUGCCUUUGAUACUGGCGAUCUCGAGUCCGGGAGAGGUGAGUGGAACUGCGAGUGUAGAGGUGAAAUUCGUAGAUAUUCGCAAGAACACCAAUAGCGAAGGCAGCUCGCUGGGACGGUACUGACGCUGAGGUGCGAAAGCGUGGGGAGCAAACAGG
rnacentral:rRNA from 1 species